rnacentral:rRNA from 1 species
GAUGAACGCUGGCGGCGUGCCUAAUACAUGCAAGUCGAGCGAACAGAUAAGGAGCUUGCUCCUUUGACGUUAGCGGCGGACGGGUGGGUAACACGUGGGUAACCUACCUAUAAGACUGGAAUAACUCCGGGAAACCGGGGCUAAUGCCGGAUAACAUUUAGAACCGCAUGGUUCUAAAGUGAAAGAUGGUUUUGCUAUCACUUAUAGAUGGACCCGCGCCGUAUUAGCUAGUUGGUAAGGUAACGGCUUACCAAGGCAACGAUACGUAGCCGACCUGAGAGGGUGAUCGGCCACACUGGAACUGAGACACGGUCCAGACUCCUACGGGAGGCAGCAGUAGGGAAUCUUCCGCAAUGGGCGAAAGCCUGACGGAGCAACGCCGCGUGAGUGAUGAAGGUCUUCGGAUCGUAAAACUCUGUUAUUAGGGAAGAACAAAUGUGUAAGUAACUGUGCACGCCUUGACGGUACCUAAUCAGAAAGCCACGGCUAACUACGUG